UCGGAUCUUGCAUUUCGGAGCUGGAGGAAGCCCUGCAAUGACGCACCCCGGUGGGGGGUGAGCGGGCCACGUGAGCAGGAACACGGGUCCCCCCGACCUGCAGGCCGCAUGAGCCCAUGGCCCCCGGCACAUGGGGGCAUCCGGGAGAGACCAGCCAAGGGGCCACUCGGGUUGACAAUCCAGCAAAUCAAGAGAAACAGUAAAUCGUUUCUUUACCAUGAAGCUCUGGGCGGGGGUGGGGGGGACUUUUACAAGGCGGCAGGGAAGAAUCCACGGCAGAUGGAGGUCUCCGGGAGGGUUGGACGAAGACCGCAUACAAACAGGAGGUCGCAGAACAUGUGACAGUCUAUGUGGGACACGAGGUUCUAGUCAUCUGCUGCCGUGAGAUCAUGCUGGCUGUGGAACUGAAGCCAGGAAGCCACGGGCUGGCGGCCGCCCCUCACGGCGGGGGGAGAACUGUGUUCUGUUGCCUUCCGUGGAAGAGGGCCGGCGAGGCCCAUUGAAAGUAAUGCAAGAUGGGCCCCCCUCGGGCCCGGCCGCGGGACAGCGGGCACAUGGGGGAAAUCAGGACCCCCCUGCACAGCUCCAUCUGCACUGGGGCACCCCGAAAUCUGUCCAGGGGUGCCCCCUCAACCAUGUGGCUGCCACCCGCAGCCUCCACUGCAGGACCCUGGCGCCCAGGCGGGCGCUGCCUCUUCCCACCAGCAGGCGGGACUGUUAGCUGUGGUCACGGUCUCCCCGGCACCUCCAAGUGGCUGUCCUGAGCAGGCCCUCCACCAUAACCUCCAGGGGGUUAUUGGAAUAGCUUUUUAAUAGAGCAGAGUCCCCCCAGGCCCCCAGCCCGGCAGUCACCAGUCUGUGGUCAGGCGAUACUCGGCACACUCAAGUUCAAAGGUCAACCACAAGUAAAUCUGUCUUUGUGCCAGAGGUG